UCCUCCAGUUGCUUGCAAAUCAAGUAGAUGCAAGCAAAGAUUUUAAGAUCUGCAUCACCCGAGAUGACCUUGUCCAAAGAGGCUUCAUUCAGUGGCAAAGACAAAAGAAGGGCUCCCCUGUCAACAAACUCAAUGUGACUUUCUUUGGAGAAGCAGGAAUUGACACUGGUGCAUUAAGGAAAGAAUUUUUGACAGGUAACUUCAAAAGUACACGUUCGGUUACAGUUUGAGUUAUUUCCUUAAUUGUGUUGUCUUCAUUUAUUAUUUUUAGAAAUGAUGAAUGGCAUUGAGAGGCGACUGUUCGAAGGCAAUGACAUAAAGGGAAAGAGUCCUGUCUACUCCAUAAGUGACCUAGAAAAUGGUUUCUACAGAACUGCAGGAGAAGUGUUCUCAGUCAGCCUCGCUCAGGGUGGCCCAGCACCAUGCUUCUUUAGAAAUUGGUGUUUCCAGUUCCUUGCAACAGGAGACUUUGACACUUUGCAGUUGACCAAAGACGAUGUGGACGAUCAGGAAUAUUCUUCACUCAUAGAAAGGGUGGAGGCGGCAACUGAUCUGACAGAGUUGACAGAAGAAAUUGUGAGCUGUGGUUACACAGGGCUUGUGAAGGUUGGCAGGAAGGACAGUAUUAUAAGGUGUGUAAAUUGUAUGUACACAUACAUUUAGCCGAGACAAUUUAUUUAUAUUAUGCAUAAAAUAAAACAUAAAUGUUAGGUCAAUUCUACUGCCUAAGCCCUUGACCAAGAAAAAAACUCCUCUACACUGUUUGUGGAAGUGCCACAUUUAUACUCUAAAUAGUAAGUAGAGCCUAGAAAUCCUCCAGAAAUGUUUGUUUUGCUCCUCCACUAAUCAAGACAAAUAUUGUUUCCUGUUCAUAAUAGAGCCAUUGUUCUACAUGCUACAAUGCGUCUGACUCCUAUCCUUCAGCAAAUCAGAAAAGGCAUGAAGGUCUACAACCUUGUGGAGUUGAUUGGGAGGCACCCAGAUCUCUGCUCAAACCUGUUUGUCCCCAAAGAGGAUGAUGACAGAGCAGAUGCUGAUUACAUAAUGAGCAUCCUAGUGCCUGAGCUGAGUGAGAGGGGAAGUCCAAGGCAUCUAAGAGAAAAUGCCAUCAUAAACUUCUUCCAGGACUUUCUGCAAGACCUCGAAAUCACAGGUCAGGAUGAAGACCAGGGUGUGUGUGAGCCUUUGACCCGAGAAGCACCACAAAGUCUGAAUGAAGAAUGUCUGGAACAGCAAAUAAACUUGAGCUUGUCGGUCCCAACAGUGAUGCAGUGGUUAACUGGACAAAGGCACAAGCCCCUUCUUCCCUCAGAAAGGGCAGAUUUUAAAAUAAAUGUAAGAUUUGAACACCACUGCAAAGAACAAAUGCCUGGUCACCACAUUUGUUACCCACUUGUGAGUGCCUGCACAAAUACAAUAACUCUUCCUGUUGCACAUAUGAAUACAUACAGUGAGUUCAGAGAUAUAAUGACAGUAGCGAUCAGAAUGAGUAGAGGUUUCGGCAGAGUUUAGAAGCCAUGUUUUACUAGUCAAAGUCAGCCAGUAUUGUGCGUUUAGGCAUUUUCAAGAGAUGCCUUAACGGCAACAUGUUUGAAAAAUAUGUUCAGUGAAUGAUUCACUAUUUUGUAUAAAUAUUCAAUGGAAAAUAAGUGCCUGGUUCCUCUUUAGCAUGUUUUUUUUAAUACUGAAAUUACAAAAUGUGUAUUUUAGGACCAGUAACAGAAUAGAUGUAGUACUUCCAUGUUAUUCAAGUUAAAUACAUUUUCUGUGGAAUUGAGUUUUUUACAAGUAUAUUCCAAUAAAAUGGUCCU